UUAAACUGAAGAGUUUGAUCAUGGCUCAGAUUGAACGCUGGCGGCAGGCCUAACACAUGCAAGUCGAGCGGUAACAGGGGUAGCUUGCUACCCGCUGACGAGCGGCGG
rnacentral:rRNA from 1 species